rnacentral:rRNA from 1 species
GACGAACGCUGGCGGCGUGCUUAACACAUGCAAGUCGAACGGAAAGGCCCUUCGGGUUUCUCGUGUUCCGGACGCGAGAGUAAGACGAAGACGAUAUUACCCGCCCCUUGGGUUUAGCAUGAGUUCAUGGGACUGAUACCAAAACCGACUACGAGCUCCUUCUGCAGUGGUGGGGUUCGAUUGCUGCGGCGGUUGGGGAUGGGACCUCGGCUUAUCAGCUUGUUGGUGGGGUAAUGGCCUACCAAGGCGUGGACGGGGAGCCGGCCUGAGAGGGGGACCGGCCACACUGGGACUGAGAUACGGCCCAGAAUCCUACGGGGGGCAGCAGGGGGGAAUAUUGCACAAUGGGCGCAAGCCUGAUGCAGCGACGCCGGGUGAGGGAUGACGGCCUUCGGGGUGGAAACCUCUUUCAAUAGGGACGAAGCGCAAGUGACGGGAACUAGAGAAGAAGCACCGGCCAACUACGUG